rnacentral:rRNA from 1 species
AUUGAACGCUGGCGGCAUGCUUUACACAUGCAAGUCGAACGGUAACAGGCCGCCAGGUGCUGACGAGUGGCGAACGGGUGAGUAAUGCAUCGGAACGUGCCCAGUCGUGGGGGAUAACUACUCGAAAGAGUAGCUAAUACCGCAUACGAUCUAUGGAUGAAAGCGGGGGACCGUAAGGCCUCGCGCGAUUGGAGCGGCCGCUGUCAGAUUAGGUAGUUGGUGGGGUACAGGCUCACCAAGCCAACGCUCUGUAACUGGUCUGUGAGGACGACCACCCACACGGGGAUUGAGACACGGCCCAGACUCCUACGGGAGGCAGCAGUGGGGAAUUUUGGACAAUGGGCGCAAGCCUGAUCCAGCAAUGCCGCGUGCAGGAAGAAGGCCUUCGGGUUGUAAACUGCUUUUGUACGGAACGAAACGGCUCUGGUUAAUACCCGGGGCUAAUGACGGUACCGUAAGAAUAAGCACCGGCUAACUACGU